AUUGAACGCUGGCGGCAUGCCUUACACAUGCAAGUCGAACGGCAGCACGGGUGCUUGCACCUGGUGGCGAGUGGCGAACGGGUGAGUAAUACAUCGGAACAUGUCCUGUAGUGGGGGAUAGCCCGGCGAAAGCCGGAUUAAUACCGCAUACGAUCCACGGAUGAAAGCGGGGGACCUUCGGGCCUCGCGCUAUAGGGUUGGCCGAUGGCUGAUUAGCUAGUUGGUGGGGUAAAGGCCUACCAAGGCGACGAUCAGUAGCUGGUCUGAGAGGACGACCAGCCACACUGGGACUGAGACACGGCCCAGACUCCUACGGGAGGCAGCAGUGGGGAAUUUUGGACAAUGGGCGAAAGCCUGAUCCAACAAUGCCGCGUGUGUGAGGAAGGCCUUCGGGUUGUAAAGCACUUUUGUCCGGAAAGAAAUCCUUGACUCUAAUACAGUCGGGGGAUGACGGUACCGGAAGAAUAAGCACCGGCUAACUACGUG
rnacentral:rRNA from 1 species